GUUUUCGGAUCGUAAAACUCUGUUGUUGGAGAAGAAUGUAUCUGAUAGUAACUGAUCAGGUAGUGACGGUAUCCAACCAGAAAGCCACGGCUAACUACGUGCCAGCAGCCGCGGUAAUACGUAGGUGGCAAGCGUUGUCCGGAUUUAUUGGGCGUAAAGCGAGCGCAGGCGGUUUCUUAAGUCUGAUGUGAAAGCCUUCGGCUCAACCGAAGAAGUGCAUCGGAAACUGGGAAACUUGAGUGCAGAAGAGGACAGUGGAACUCCAUGUGUAGCGGUGAAAUGCGUAGAUAUAUGGAAGAACACCAGUGGCGAAGGCGGCUGUCUGGUCUGUAACUGACGCUGAGGCUCGAAAGCAUGGGUAGCAAACAGGAUUAGAUACCCUGGUAGUCCAUGCCGUAAACGAUGAGUGCUAGGUGUUGGAGGGUUUCCGCCCUUCAGUGCCGCAGCUAACGCAUUAAGCACUCCGCCUGGGGAGUACGACCGCAAGGUUGAAACUCAAAGGAAUUGACGGGGGCCCGCACAAGCGGUGGAGCAUGUGGUUUAAUUCGAAGCAACGCGAAGAACCUUACCAGGUCUUGACAUCCUUUGACCACUCUAGAG
rnacentral:rRNA from 2 species